CCGAAUAAAACAGACAUGGAUUUUCCUUUAUGGGGCUUACCAUUUGAUGUGAGAGAAGGACACUAAAUAGCUUGAAUAACUUAUUUGGAAGCAUUAUCAUCUAUAAUAUAAGAUGUACUAUGAGUAAAAUAAAGAAUUACAGUAAAAGAAAACAGAAAAUCAGGGGAGAUCUACUUAGGUGGGGUUUGAGCAGGGACGUCUUUACUAAGGAAGGAACAUUUAAGAAUCCUAAAGGAACAGAAGGAGGUGGCAACACAAAGUGGGAGCAGGCAGCAGAGAGUGAGCUUCCUGGGUGGAACACAGGCCCUGAGGCAGGAUAGAGGGCAGGAGAGGAAGAGGCUGGAGCAAAGUGGACAGGAGACCAGAAAGCCUUUUCUAUGCUAUGUGUCGUGUGUAUCUCUAAGAGUAAGGAUAAGCCCUGCUUCCCAAAAAGGUAUUAAAGAAUGUCAAAAUGGGAUGCGUCAACCAAGCCACUAAGAUGGAUGAGAUACCAGAUUCCAAAGUGAAAUGUCAGGUCUAGAUGCAGUUUUUCAAAGAACAUAGCCCAAAACACUCUUCACUGGUCUUAAACCUCUUACCCACGGUGAGGCUACAAGUAGGUCGGGCUCUUUGUUGGCGGUUAAAAGGAGAGAGUGUUUGAAGCAAGUGGGCUGCAGUCUGGUCCUAGCCUAAAGGACUAAGCUUAGGGAGAGGUAAGAGUAUCCUCUUCUUGCUUCUCUCCUUUCCAGCCUAGCGAGGGACUCAACAGGACUACCUGGAAACUGUGAGACUCUUAUGAUAUGGAAGGCACUGUGACCUUGUUUGGGACUUUGGCCUAAGGAAUCUGAAGAACUGGAGAGCUGGCUGGAUGCUGAUGGACAAGCCAAAAGAAACUAGACCUGCACUGGGAGCAGCCUGUCCUCUCCCUGUUCGUGGGAACAAAGAGGAAGACAAAUGUGUUUCAGGAAGGAAUGCCUAUCACUGGGAACCACCACCAAGCUCAGCUCUGAUCCUCCUGAAACAAGCUCUGACUGAGUUCCCAAUAUUGUGUCUUCUGAGUCUUCUUAGAUGUCACCAUAACAGGAUUCCCAGCACACUUAUCUGGCACCAAGCUGAGAAGACCAGAGCCUCAACCCAUACUCAGCAGGAAACUCAAGGAGUAUCAAUGGAAGGACAGGGGCCUCUUUAACUCCACCCAUUCAAUCUCCCAUUGUCUUAUGUGUCAUGAAAAGCAAAUCUUAACAUGCAAGGCAGUAAAACAUGACAUGGAACUCAUCUUCAAUAAACUGGCACUUUGGUUAAACAAAUGUGGAAAAGUCAACAGCCACAUCAUCCUUCUAUGCCAGGGGUUUUAGUAAGUCAACAUACACUGACCAAGUCUUUCUGAUACUGGAAAUACUGCUUACCAAAUCUACACCACCUGAAAGAAGGACCUUUGGAGCUGAAGCAGAAAGAGAAAAGAUCCUCAAACCCGACACUGAGAGGUAUGCGGCAGCAGAGAAAGGUCACAAGACUGGGGUUGGAUGGUUCUGCAGUCACGUCUCAGCUCUGCUGGGCCUCA